rnacentral:tRNA from 1 species
GCCGCGGUGGCGGAAUUGGCAUACGCGCUAGACUUAAAAUCUAGUGGCCUUACGGCCUUGUGGGUUCAAGUCCCACCCGCGGUA